UGCCUUCCAAUGGUCCAUUCCCGGAUUGCUUAGAUAUCUGCCUAACAUCCCAACAUGUAUGCUAUAUCUGGUCGUGUACAUACCUGAGCAUACAUUAGACUACCUACAGCCGAAGCAAAAGGUGUCUUCUGCAUUUCCGAAGUUUCAUUAUUAUUAUUUGGGCACUGUUUGAGACUAAACUUGUCUCCCUUAUCAACAGGGGUGUUGCCUGGUUUACAAUCCUGCAUGCCAAAUCGUUUCAGAACCUUAUCGAUAUAGCCCUUUUGUGACAGACCGAGAACACCUUUAGAGCGAUCUCGUUGUAUCUGAAUUCCUAAUACAAAAGAAGCUUACAUUAGACUACCUACAGCCGAAGCAAAAGGUGUCUUCUGCAUUUCCGAAGUUUCAUUAUUAUUAUUUGGGCACUGUUUGAGACUAAACUUGUCUCCCUUAGAAACAGGGGUGUUGCCUGGUUUACAAUCAUGCAUGCCAAAUCUUUUAAAAACCUUAUCGAUAUAGCCCUUUUGUGAUAGACCGAGAACACAUUUGGAGCGAUCUCGUUGUAUCUAAAUUCCUAAUACAAAAAAGGCUUCACCAAGAUCUUUCAUUUCAAAUUUCUUUGAAAGAAAUUUCUUAGUUUCAUGCAAUANNNNNN
rnacentral:lncRNA from 1 species